GACCCUUCGGGGAUAUCCAUUUAAAUUGGAAAUCGAUACAGAGAAAAUUAGCAUUAAGUCCUUGCGUAAAGAUGACAUUAUAACUUAAGAGAAGAAAAACCAUUUU
rnacentral:snRNA from 1 species